rnacentral:rRNA from 1 species
GAUGAACGCUGGCGGCGUGCUUAACACAUGCAAGUCGAACGAUGAAGCCCAGCUUGCUGGGUGGAUUAGUGGCGAACGGGUGAGUAACACGUGAGUAACCUGCCCUUGACUCUGGGAUAAGCCUGGGAAACUGGGUCUAAUACUGGAUAUGACUUCUCAUCGCAUGGUGGGGGGUGGAAAGAUUUAUUGGUCUUGGAUGGACUCGCGGCCUAUCAGCUUGUUGGUGAGGUAAUGGCUCACCAAGGCGACAACGGGUAGCCGGCCUGAGAGGGUGACCGGCCACACUGGGACUGAGACACGGCCCAGACUCCUACGGGAGGCAGCAGUGGGGAAUAUUGCACAAUGGGCGCAAGCCUGAUGCAGCGACGCCGCGUGAGGGAUGACGGCCUUCGGGUUGUAAACCUCUUUCAGUAGGGAAGAAGCGAGAGUGACGGUACCUGCAGAAGAAGCGCCGGCUAACUACGUG